ncrna:Capitella teleta microRNA cte-mir-8 precursor
GUGGACAUCUUACCCGGCGGCAUUAGAUUGACCGGCUCUCUUCUAAUACUGUCAGGUAAAGAUGUCUCC